CCUACGGGGGGCUGCAGUCGAGAAUCUUCCGCAAUGGGCGAAAGCGUGACGGAGCAAUGCCGCGUGCCGGAUGAAGGUCUUCGGAUUGUAAACGGCUGUCACUCGGGACGAAAAAAAUGACGGUACCGAGGGAGGAAGCCACGGCUAACUACGUGCCAGCAGCCGCGGUAAUACGUAGGUGGCGAGCGUUGUUCGGAUUUAUUGGGCGUAAAGGGUCCGUAGGAGGUUGGGUAAAUUUGACGUGAAAUCCCAGAGCUCAACUCUGGAACUGCGUUGGAGACUGCCCGACUAGAGGAUUGGAGAGGUAAGCGGAAUACCAGGUGUAGCGGUGGAAUGCGUAGAUAUCUGGUAGAACACCAAAAGCGAAGGCAGCUUACUGGACAAUAACUGACUCUGAUGGACGAAAGCGUGGGGAGCAAACAGGCUUAGAUACCCUGGUAGUC
rnacentral:rRNA from 1 species